rnacentral:rRNA from 1 species
UACGUAGGGGGCAAGCGUUGUCCGGAAUCAUUGGGCGUAAAGCGCGUGUAGGCGGCUUGGUAAGUCCGCUCUGAAAGCCCGGGGCUCAACCCCGGGAGGCGGGUGGAUACUGUCAAGCUCGAGUCCGGAAGAGGCGAGUGGAAUUCCUGGUGUAGCGGUGAAAUGCGCAGAUAUCAGGAGGAACACCGGUGGCGAAGGCGACGCCUGGACCGGCAUUGACGCUGAGGCGCGAAAAGCCCAGGGGGAGCAAAACGGGG